CGAGUGGCGAACGGGUGAGUAACGCGUGAGGAACCUGCCCCAAAGAGGGGGACAACAGUUGGAAACGACUGCUAAUACCGCAUAAGCCCACGGGUCGGCAUCGACCAGAGGGAAAAGGAGCAAUCCGCUUUGAGAUGGCCUCGCGUCCGAUUAGCUAGUUGGUGAGGUAACGGCCCACCAAGGCAACGAUCGGUAGCCGGACUGAGAGGUUGAACGGCCACAUUGGGACUGAGACACGGCCCAA
rnacentral:rRNA from 1 species